rnacentral:misc_RNA from 1 species
AAAUCUCCUGCAAAGUCAGAGGAGGAAGAGGAGGAGGUUCCAUUGAAGACAAGAAGAACACCAAGGGCCCGACUCUCUCAGUCGAUCAACAUUCAAAGCCCAGGGAGGAACUCGCCAAGGAAAGGAGAUCUCUCUAUAACCAAAGGGGUUAAAAAUAAUUCGAGCUCGAAGGAGAGUUUGAAUGAGUCGCCUAAAAAGCUACUGCGGACACCAAAACACACAGAUGUCAAAUCACCAAUGAGGGGAAAGAAGACCCAAUGUCCUGUUUCUGAAGGCAUUUCUCCCUCUCCACAAAAGAAAUCAAAACUGGUUGAGCCGAGCAAUAAAACAAGAAAAGGGUCUCAAGGUGAGAAAUCGGAAAAUGAUACCCCAAAGAAGAAUGUCAAUAGCCCUGUUACAAGAAGUGGAAAGAGAACUGUAUCAGGGACAGGUGAUUCAACUACAAGUGGCAGAGAUUUGAAAAAGGCAGCUCCAGUUGAUACUGCAAAGCCCAAGAAGACAACUACCUCUUCCGUCAGUAGCCCAAGCAAAAGAACUCGAGGGGGUGCCAACCUAUCCGAAUCUGAGACGGAUUCUCCCAGGGUAACCAGAACCAAACUGUCUUCACCAGAGUUGAUUUCUAGCUCACCCACAUCACCAGAAUCCUCCAGAAGGAGCAAGAGAUUAAACACCACUAAUAAUCAGUCAAUCUCAUCCCCAGCGAGAUCAACCCCUAGACUCAAGAGAGCUGAAAUGAAGGAGAAUAAAUCGCCUGGGAAGGAAAGCACUCCAGGAGCCAAGAAAGAAACAAGACAACUAAGCAAGCCUUCAGUCUCAGAGAGCUCAAAGAAAAAGGCAACUCCCAGUCCAUCACAACCUACCAAGGCCAGGAAACUGGCGUCUGAAUCGGAUGGAGACUCACAAAGUUCACCUUCUACUCUGAGGUCAAGCAGACGCUCCACUCAGUCUACUGUUAGCAGUCAGGAAUCUAUUAAAAAAUCCAAGGGCGUUUUGUCUGAGUCAAUCAAUCUUUCUCCUAGACACAUCACUCGGGCUUCCCAAGCUGAGGGAGACUCCUCGGUGAAGAAAACGAGAGGCCAGAAGAGUCCGACAACCACUGCCUCCUCUCAGUCAGAGUCUGAUGUAUCGCCAGCACGUUCUACUCGUUCCAAGAAAGUACCUGCUCCUUCCGCAGCCAAACUGAAGCAGAGUCAUUCUACUGCAGUCAGGGUAUCUGCUAAGAUGACAUGGAAUGAGGAAAAUGGGAAAAGCAAGAAAGUGGUAGAGCAGAAAACUAGGCUAAGGUCCACCAGAGGAUCCCAGAAAUAAUUUCCCACGAGUUUCAUAACAUUAGCAUCCUGGUAUAGACCAUCUCCAAAAUGUGUUCAGAUUUAAUCAGACACUAUGUUGCUCAACUGAGCUGUUGAUGUCUUUGGAAAUUUUCUAAGUUAUAAGCCAGACAGUGGUCAGUGUAAAAUGAUUUUAUGUCAAAGAUUAAGCUGCUGUAUUCUUGAUUUAUUUAUUAUGGUAAUUUUUAAUCAGUGAAAAUUUUUAUUCUCUUGAAGAGGCGAUAUUUAAAUUGUGUGUUCAUUAAUAGAACCGGUACAUGUUUUGCUUAAUUUCAUCUGUGACAUUGUACUAUGAGUUCUUGUACUGGUAGAUUCUUUAAUAUGCAGUGAAGAGCAUGUAAAAAUGUUAUUGAAAAUCAAUAAAGUAUUCUAUUCC